GACCUCAGAUCAGGCAAGGCUACCCGCU
rnacentral:rRNA from 2 species